GACGAACGCUGGCGGCGUGCUUAACACAUGCAAGUCGAACGCUGAACCCGCUUCGGUGGGGGAUGAGUGGCGAACGGGUGAGUAACACGUGGGCAACCUGCCCCCGGCUCUGGGAUAGCUCCAAGGAAUUGGGGCUAAUACCGGAUAUGACCGCUGGCCGCAUGGGCUGGUGGUGGAAAGUUUUUCGGCUGGGGAUGGGCCCGCGGCCUAUCAGCUUGUUGGUGGGGUAGUGGCCUACCAAGGCGACGACGGGUAGCCGGCCUGAGAGGGUGACCGGCCACACUGGGACUGAGACACGGCCCAGACUCCUACGGGAGGCAGCAGUGGGGAAUAUUGCGCAAUGGGCGGAAGCCUGACGCAGCGACGCCGCGUGGGGGAUGACGGCCUUCGGGUUGUAAACCUCUUUCAGCAGGGACGAAGCGGAAGUGACGGUACCUGCAGAAGAAGCACCGGCCAACUACGUGCCAGCCGCCGCCGUAACAC
rnacentral:rRNA from 1 species